UACCUCGCUACGUCUCACAUGGCGUACAUAUGUAAACACGCUGAUUGCAUAACCUCUGAAAAUUGAUUUUUGCUGUGCAACAAAUUUAUUUAAUUGCAAAAAUGUUUAUAAUUGUGGAAACGAUAGAAGAAGGGGAAGUAAAUUUAUGUGUCGUACCCGAAAGUUGGGAAAAGAACGGGAUUUUAUUUUGGCCGCCAGAACGAAAAGGAAUGAAUCUCCGAAAAAACGAUAGUAUUUUACCAGACAAUAAUUGGUCAAAACAAAAAUGUACGGUAAAAAAAAGAAAUUUUACUAUGUUUCAAGCCGCUGUUCAAGCGGAAAAAUAUUUAAGUCAGUUUAAUGAUACUGAGGAUGAAGAGAAUUUUUUUCUCCUGAAUUCUUCAAGACAAACACAACGUUUCCAGACUAAAGAUAAUUCUCAGACUGAUUUUAAUAAUUUAAUAAUGGAAAAUAACAAUAUUAUAAAUAAUAAUGUAAAACUGGCUAAAAAUGUUGAAAAUCCAGUCAAUAUUAUUCAAGUUAUUGACCCAACUUUGGAAAGUACUUCAAAAAAAUUAGGAAUUAUAGAAUCUACAAAUGCAAUAAUAAUUGAAAGUGAUGAAACUUCCACUUUACUUUUGAACAGUUUUCACGAAUGGUUGGACAAUAUUCAAAGCUCUGAUAUUUAUGUGAUGUUGUAUAAAAUAUUGUAGAAUAAAAUUUUAGUAUUUAUUUAGUCCAAGAACAAUUUGACACAAUAAAAUCAAACCUGGCAAGUUUUGAAAAUCGUAUUCUUCGAGAUUUAUCUGAGUUACAUAUUAAAUUUGACAAAUUAAUCGAUCUUUUGAUUAAAAAUCAAGUUACUACUGAGAGACAUGAAAAGGAUACAUCAAAAAGCGAAAUUCUUGAAAACGAUAUAAAACAAAUGAAACCACUAGCAACGGAAUCGAAUAUUAACAAUUUAGAAAAAAAGCUAUGUAAUCAGGAAUUUGAAUUAGCAUUUAUAAAAGUAAUGAGUAAAAUUGGAGGCACGACUGGUAAAGAAGAUGGGAAAAAAAUAGUGUACUUAUUGAUGGAUCGAUUAUUUGAAAAGCAAUUAUUAACUUUAUGCUCAUGGACUGGUUCUACCAAGAAAAAAGAAGAAAAAAUGAAAAAAAAUUGCUUUUUUAAAAUACAAUCGAAUAAUUAAAAUAUUUUUUAAAAUUUUACAUUUAGCCGAUUCAAAUUAUACGGUUGACGAUAUGAUUUUUCUGAAACGAAUUCUUAAACAGUGUGAGUCGAAGUAAACUGCUUGAAAAACGAUUGAGUAAACAAAAAGGAAAACUCUAAAGAAGCUACUGAACGUGAUGACAAUUACGAUAAAAAUAUAGAAGAAGAAGAACAGCUGUAAACAUAGUUAUCUAUUAUUACAUAAAGAAAAUUUAAUAAUAAAAAUUACUAUGUACGAGAAUAGCUACAAAUCACAAGAAAAAUUUUAAGGAAUUAUACUAUAAGUAAUUCAUACAAAUGGUAAUUUGAAAAACAUGAUAAAAAUUUUUAUAAUUA
rnacentral:lncRNA from 1 species